GUGAAAUUGUUGAAAGGGAAACGAUUGAAGUCAGUUGUACCAGCGGAAAAUCAACCUUUCGAGUGAGGUUUUGGAGUUUUUAAGUGUGUCAAAACAUUGGAGGUUUCAAAAUUUUCGCCUAGGUAAGUUAACAUCGAUUUUGAUCAUCAUAAAAAGACUGGAGAAAUGUAGCUUCGAUCUCGUAUUGAAGUAUUAUAGCCUUUGUAAAUGUGAUGAUUAAGAUCGACGAAUACCCUUUUGGGCUAUCCGUCUGAUCUCUGAUACGUUGCCUUGGUAUCGAAAGCUUGCUUAUGGUAUUAAGGUAUUACGGUCAAUAGGUUAGAACGGAUUACAUUUGUUAAGGAUGUUGGACGUAAUGGCUUUAAACGAC
rnacentral:rRNA from 1 species